rnacentral:rRNA from 1 species
GACGAACGCUGGCGGCGUGCCUAAUACAUGCAAGUCGAGCGAAGUUUUUCUGGUGCUUGCACUAGAAAAACUUAGCGGCGAACGGGUGAGUAACACGUAAAGAACCUGCCUCAUAGACUGGGACAACUAUUGGAAACGAUAGCUAAUACCGGAUAACAGUAUUUCUCGCAUGAGAGAUAUUUAAAAGUUGGUUAUGCUAACACUAUGAGAUGGCUUUGCGGUGCAUUAGCUAGUUGGUGGGGUAAAGGCCCACCAAGGCGACGAUGCAUAGCCGACCUGAGAGGGGGAUCGGCCACACUGGGACUGAGACACGGCCCAGACUCCUACGGGAGGCAGCAGUAGGGAAUCUUCCGCAAUGGGCGAAAGCCUGACGGAGCAACGCCGCGUGAGUGAAGAAGGAUUUGGGUUCGUAAAGCUCUGUUGUUAGGGAAGAAUGGAUAUGUAGUAACUAUACAUGUAAGAGACGGUACCUAACCAGAAAGCCACGGCUAACUACGUG